rnacentral:rRNA from 1 species
AUUGAACGCUGGCGGCAGGCUUAACACAUGCAAGUCGAGCGAGCGGCGGACGGGUGAGUAAUGUCUGGGAAAAUGCCUGAUGGAGGGGGAUAACUACUGGAAACGGUAGCUAAUACCGCAUACCAUCAGAUGUGCCAAGAUGGGAGUAGAUAGUAGGUGGGGUAAUGGCUCACCAAGGCGACGAUCCCUAGCUGGUUUGAGAGGAUGACCAGCCAGCCUGGACCGGAGCCACGGUCCAGAAUCCUACGGGAGGCAGCAGUGGGGAAUAUUGCACAAUGGGCGCAAGCCUGAUGCAGCCAUGCCGCGUGUGUGAAGAAGGCCUUCGGGUUGUAAAGCACUUUCAGCGAGGAGGCGUUACUCGCAGAAGAAGCACCGGCUAACUCCGUGCCAGCCGCCGCGGUAAUAC